UACGAAGGGGGCUAGCGUUGUUCGGAGUUACUGGGCGUAAAGGGCGCGUAGGCGGCCCUCCAAGUCGGGUGUGAAAGCCCACGGCUCAACCGUGGAAUUGCACUCGAGACUGAAGGGCUCGAGGACGGGAGAGGAUGGUGGAAUUCCCAGUGUAGAGGUGAAAUUCGUAGAUAUUGGGAAGAACACCGGUGGCGAAGGCGGCGACCUGGGUAGAUACUGACGCUGAGGCGCGAAAGCGUGGGGAGCAAACAGG
rnacentral:rRNA from 1 species